rnacentral:lncRNA from 10 species
ACACAUGCGAGUUUUUGCUGGCUUGAGAACAAGCAAGGAAAAAGACAAAUCCCACCUACCCUAGCCUAAAAUACACAGUGAGUCUCAGAACCCCGCGGAAGCUGUGGCUCAUUUCUAAAGGUGCUGGCAAUAUCGAGGAAGACUUGUAUCCACAAAAUUCCAAAUGAUUAAAUAAUCAAGUCAUUAUUGUGAAUUUGGAUCUAAAUGACCUGGCAGAAACCAUGGAGAUGAUCUUGGAUUUAAAGAGGAAAAACUCAAAGCAAUGUAUUCUGAUCAAGAAAUGGCAGGAAAUGGCAGCUACCUGAUAUGGAACAAUCAACAACUGAAGGUUUAUUUUGAAUGAGAGGUGUUGUCCAACUGCGAGACGGAGUGAUUGAAGCUGAGAAUAAAUGGAAACACAAUCAAUAGUCACUCCAGUGAGGUAGGAAAGAAAGCCAUUCCGAAGUGGCAGAGAAGCUGCUUUUUCCUCCUGCAUGCUGCCUGCUAGUGUGGAUCUUGGCAUAACAGACACUACUUGGCAAAAGAUCCAUCCUUCCUUUUCCUAUACUUUGCUCAGCGGCCUGGAAGAUUGACCUCAAAAGCAAAAUCACCUGGAUUUCCUUG